AGAGUUUGAUCCUGGCUCAGGAUGAACGCUAGCGGCGCUUAACACAUGCAAGUCGAACGGUAAGGAUCACUUCGGUGAUUACACGAGUGGCGCACGGGUGCGUAACGCGUAUGCAACCUACCUUCAACAGAGAGAUAGCCCUGAGAAAUUGGGAUUAAUACCUCAUAAAAAUAUAAAUAGGCAUCUAUUAAUAUUUAAAGCUCCGGCGGUUGGAGAUGGGCAUGCGUAACAUUAGCUAGUUGGUAAGGUAACGGCUUACCAAGGCUACGAUGUUUAGGGGUUCUGAGAGGAUUAUCCCCCACACUGGUACUGAGACACGGACCAGACUCCUACGGGAGGCAGCAGUGAGGAAUAUUGGUCAAUGGGCGCAAGCCUGAACCAGCCAUGCCGCGUGCAGGAAUGACGGCCCUAUGGGUUGUAAACUGCUUUUAUAUGCCAAGAAACCCUCGGAUGCGUUCGAGGCUGACGGUAGCAUAUGAAUAAGCAUCGGCUAACUCCGUGCCAGCAGCCGCGGUAAUACGGAGGAUGCAAGCGUUAUCCGGAUUUAUUGGGUUUAAAGGGUGCGCAGGCGGCUUUAUAAGUCAGUGGUGAAAUCUCUCGGCUCAACCGAGAAACUGCCAUUGAUACUGUAGAGCUAGAGUACAGAUGGGGUAGGCGGAAUAUAGCAUGUAGCGGUGAAAUGCAUAGAUAUGCUAUAGAACACCAAUCGCGAAGGCAGCUUACCAAGCUGUUACUGACGCUCAGGCACGAAAGCGUGGGUAGCGAACAGGAUUAGAUACCCUGGUAGUCCACGCCGUAAACGAUGAUUACUAGCUGUUGGCGAUAAACAGUCAGUGGCUAAGCGAAAGUGAUAAGUAAUCCACCUGGGGAGUACGAUCGCAAGGUUGAAACUCAAAGGAAUUGACGGGGGCCCGCACAAGCGGAGGAGCAUGUGGUUUAAUUCGAUGAUACGCGAAGAACCUUACCAGGCUUUGACAUGGACGGAUUAGUUCCCUGAAAGGGGAGUGACGGCUCUUCGGAGUUGGAACGUUCACAGGUGUUGCAUGGCUGUCGUCAGCUCGUGCCGUGAGGUGUUGGGUUAAGUCCCGUAACGAGCGAAACCCUUAUCGUUAGUUGCCAGCGGGUAAUGCCGGGGACUCUAGCGAGACUGCCGUUGUCAAAACGGAGGAAGGUGGGGACGACGUCAAGUCAUCAUGGCCCUUAUAGUCUGGGCUACAAACGUGCUACAAUGGUCCGUACAAAGGGUACCCAAGCCACGAGGCGGAGGCAAUCCCGACAAAGCGGGCCCCAGUUCGGAUUGCAGGCUGAAAUUCGCCUGCAUGAAGCC
rnacentral:rRNA from 1 species